CAGCCACCUCUGAGUGCGGUCCAGCCCUGUGCCAUUGGAGGCGAAUCUUCAGGUUGCUGGAUUUGAAACUUACACAAACACUCACUGUAUUAUUGCAGAAGAGAGAGAGAAUGGAGAGAGAAAGGAAGAGGAAGAGGACAAGAAGAGGAAAGAGAGGAGGAAAGGAAGAGAUCCAAGCUCUAUGCCCCCCCAAAACUGAACCCAUGGACUGCUUCAUGUGGGCUCACUUGCCCUCUGCUUCUGGCUGAUUUGGCAAUGGAGACAUACAGAGGAGAUCAGAAGGUGGGAGGAGAGAAAGGUUGGUGUGUUCAUUCCUCCAAUCCCCACCUUGCCUCUUGCACAGCUCCAGCCUCAGGCUAGUUCUUGGUCCUUUCACCAUGCUUCAUUGAUUCCUGAAACCUGCUACCACCUGUGUAAAUAGUAUCAACAUUAAAUAACUCUUCAGUUAAACUCUUAUCUGCACUAUGUAUGCCCUGCCCAGACCCGAUUGUUACAAUAAUGAAUGCUUAUACAAAUCCUAUAUAAAUGCUAUUUUUUUUUUUUUUUGAGACGGAGUCUCUCUGUCGUCCAGGC
rnacentral:lncRNA from 1 species